GUAGGGUGCAAGCGUUAUCCGGAAUCAUUGGGCGUAAAGAGCUCGUAGGCGGUUCAGCAAGUCGGCUGUGGGAUCCCGAGGGCUUAACCUCGGAACUGCAGUCGAUACUGCUGUGACUAGAGUCCGGUAGAGGAGAAUGGAAUUCCCGGUGUAGCGGUGAAAUGCGCAGAUAUCGGGAGGAACACCAGUAGCGAAGGCGGUUCUCUGGGCCGGUACUGACGCUGAGGAGCGAAAGCGUGGGUAGCAAACAGGAUUAGAUACCCUGGUAGUCCACGCCGUAAACGUUGGACACUAGGUGUGGCGUUCCGACCAACGGGUGCCGUGCCGAAGCUAACGCAUUAAGUGUCCCGCCUGGGGAGUACGGCCGCAAGGCUA
rnacentral:rRNA from 1 species